GUGACGUCAGAGCAGGAAGUGUUUGAGGAAGUCGCGCCGCGCUGCCCGCGUUAAGAUUCCCGCAUUUUAAUGUUUUCAGGGGGGUGUCAUAGCCCCGGGUUUGGCCGCCCCAGCCCCGCCUUCCCCGCCCCGGGGAGCCCGCCCCCUGCCCCGCGUCCCUGCCGACAGAGUUAGCACGACAUCAGUAUGAGCUGGUCACCUUCCCUGACAACGCAGACAUGUGGGGCCUGGGAAAUGAAAGAGCGCCUUGGGACAGGGGGAUUUGGAAAUGUCAUCCGAUGGCACAAUCAGGAAACAGGUGAGCAGAUUGCCAUCAAGCAGUGCCGGCAGGAGCUCAGCCCCCGGAACCGAGAGCGGUGGUGCCUGGAGAUCCAGAUCAUGAGAAGGCUGACCCACCCCAAUGUGGUGGCUGCCCGAGAUGUCCCUGAGGGGAUGCAGAACUUGGCGCCCAAUGACCUGCCCCUGCUGGCCAUGGAGUACUGCCAAGGAGGAGAUCUCCGGAAGUACCUGAACCAGUUUGAGAACUGCUGUGGUCUGCGGGAAGGUGCCAUCCUCACCUUGCUGAGUGACAUUGGUAAAUCCCAGUCCCGGAAUUCAGGCCGUGUCCUUCAGGGAGAGUGUGGUGCCCCUCCUCUGCGCUUAGAUACCUUCAUGAAAACAGAAUCAUCCAUCGGGAUCUAAAGCCAGAAAACAUCGUCCUGCAGCAAGGAGAACAGAGGUUAAUACACAAAAUUAUUGACCUAGGAUAUGCCAAGGAGCUGGAUCAGGGCAGUCUUUGCACAUCAUUCGUGGGGACCCUGCAGUACCUGGCCCCAGAGCUACUGGAGCAGCAGAAGUACACAGUGACCGUCGACUACUGGAGCUUCGGCACCCUGGCCUUUGAGUGCAUCACGGGCUUCCGGCCCUUCCUCCCCAACUGGCAGCCCGUGCAGUGGCAUUCAAAAGUGCGGCAGAAGAGUGAGGUGGACAUUGUUGUUAGCGAAGACUUGAAUGGAACGGUGAAGUUUUCAAGCUCUUUACCCUACCCCAAUAAUCUUAACAGUGUCCUGGCUGAGCGACUGGAGAAGUGGCUGCAACUGAUGCUGAUGUGGCACCCCCGACAGAGGGGCACGGAUCCCACGUAUGGGCCCAAUGGCUGCUUCAAGGCCCUGGAUGACAUCUUAAACUUAAAGCUGGUUCAUAUCUUGAACAUGGUCACGGGCACCAUCCACACCUACCCUGUGACAGAGGAUGAGAGUCUGCAGAGCUUGAAGGCCAGAAUCCAACAGGACACGGGCAUCCCAGAGGAGGACCAGGAGCUGCUGCAGGAAGCGGGCCUGGCGUUGAUCCCCGAUAAGCCUGCCACUCAGUGUAUUUCAGACGGCAAGUUAAAUGAGGGCCACACAUUGGACAUGGAUCUUGUUUUUCUCUUUGACAACAGUAAAAUCACCUAUGAGACUCAGAUCUCCCCACGGCCCCAACCUGAAAGUGUCAGCUGUAUCCUUCAAGAGCCCAAGAGGAAUCUCGCCUUCUUCCAGCUGAGGAAGGUGUGGGGCCAGGUCUGGCACAGCAUCCAGACCCUGAAGGAAGAUUGCAACCGGCUGCAGCAGGGACAGCGAGCCGCCAUGAUGAAUCUCCUCCGAAACAACAGCUGCCUCUCCAAAAUGAAGAAUUCCAUGGCUUCCAUGUCUCAGCAGCUCAAGGCCAAGUUGGAUUUCUUCAAAACCAGCAUCCAGAUUGACCUGGAGAAGUACAGCGAGCAAACCGAGUUUGGGAUCACAUCAGAUAAACUGCUGCUGGCCUGGAGGGAAAUGGAGCAGGCUGUGGAGCUCUGUGGGCGGGAGAACGAAGUGAAACUCCUGGUAGAACGGAUGAUGGCUCUGCAGACCGACAUUGUGGACUUACAGAGGAGCCCCAUGGGCCGGAAGCAGGGGGGAACGCUGGACGACCUAGAGGAGCAAGCAAGGGAGCUGUACAGGAGACUAAGGGAAAAACCUCGAGACCAGCGAACUGAGGGUGACAGUCAGGAAAUGGUACGGCUGCUGCUUCAGGCAAUUCAGAGCUUCGAGAAGAAAGUGCGAGUGAUCUAUACGCAGCUCAGUAAAACUGUGGUUUGCAAGCAGAAGGCGCUGGAACUGUUGCCCAAGGUGGAAGAGGUGGUGAGCUUAAUGAAUGAGGAUGAGAAGACUGUUGUCCGGCUGCAGGAGAAGCGGCAGAAGGAGCUCUGGAAUCUCCUGAAGAUUGCUUGUAGCAAGGUCCGUGGUCCUGUCAGUGGAAGCCCGGAUAGCAUGAAUGCCUCUCGACUUAGCCAGCCUGGGCAGCUGAUGUCUCAGCCCUCCACGGCCUCCAACAGCUUACCUGAGCCAGCCAAGAAGAGUGAAGAACUGGUGGCUGAAGCACAUAACCUCUGCACCCUGCUAGAAAAUGCCAUACAGGACACUGUGAGGGAACAAGACCAGAGUUUCACGGCCCUAGACUGGAGCUGGUUACAGACGGAAGAAGAAGAGCACAGCUGCCUGGAGCAGGCCUCAUGAUGUGGGGGGACUCGACCCCCUGACAUGGGGCAGCCCAUAGCAGGCCUUGUGCAGUGGGGGGACUCGACCCCCUGACAUGGGGCUGCCUGGAGCAGGCCGCGUGACGUGGGGCUGCCUGGCCGCGGCUCUCACAUGGUGGUUCCUGCUGCACUGAUGGCCCAGGGGUCUCUGGUAUCCAGAUGGAGCUCUCGCUUCCUCAGCAGCUGUGACUUUCACCCAGGACCCAGGACGCAGCCCUCCGUGGGCACUGCCGGCGCCUUGUCUGCACACUGGAGGUCCUCCAUUACAGAGGCCCAGCGCACAUCGCUGGCCCCACAAACGUUCAGGGGUACAGCCAUGGCAGCUCCUUCCUCUGCCGUGAGAAAAGUGCUUGGAGUACGGUUUGCCACACACGUGACUGGACAGUGUCCAAUUCAAAUCUUUCAGGGCAGAGUCCGAGCAGCGCUUGGUGACAGCCUGUCCUCUCCUGCUCUCCAAAGGCCCUGCUCCCUGUCCUCUCUCACUUUACAGCUUGUGUUUCUUCUGGAUUCAGCUUCUCCUAAACAGACAGUUUAAUUAUAGUUGCGGCCUGGCCCCAUCCUCACUUCCUCUUUUUAUUUCACUGCUGCUAAAAUUGUGUUUUUACCUACUACUUUGGUGGUUGUCCUCUUUUCGGCAAAGUUGGAGCGAGUGCCAAGCUCUCCAUCUGUGGUCCUUUCUGCCAAGAGCGACUCAUAGUAACCAGGAUGGGAGAGCAGCUGCCUUAUUCUGAAUCCCAAAAAUUACUUGGGGGUGAUUGUCACAGAGGAGGGACAGAAAGGGUAUCUGCUGACCACCAGCCUGCCUACCCAUGCCCAUGUCUCCAUUCCUGCUCAAGCGUGUGUGCUGGGCCGGGGAGUCCCUGUCUCUCACAGCAUCUAGCAGUAUUAUUAAAUGGAUUCAUUUUAAAAAUAGCUCCUAUAUUUUGUAACAUGUCUCAAACACUCAUACUGGGUUCCACAAUCCACUGUUAGAAUACCUAUGGUUAGGGCUUCUGAACUAAAAUAAUGGAAAAUUUUAACAAUUUGUAUAGUGCCUGGAUCAUUACUAGUGCCAUAACCCUGCUUCUUCAACAUUUCACAGAACUUCUCUUUUAUAUAAAGGCAAGAGCACAAAAUGAGUUCAGAUGAUCACAAACAGGUGAGUUUUGUUGGAGAAGAAAGUUGGAGUAGGAGACUUUCACAAGUGGUUUCCAUGGAGAUAGAAUGAAGCAUUCUGUGGUCAAGUAAGUUUAGGGAGCUAUUCAUGUUUCACUUGCUUUGUGGAGAUUCACACUAUGCACUGGGAAAGUAUCUGAAAAGUCUUAUAAUAAAGAAACAGGCUUAACUUUGUGUAAGAACACUGUUUAUCAAUGUCAUUUGGCUAUAGAAACAUUUUCUCCUGCUGAUUGUGUGUGUGAAACAUGUAUUAACAUUCCAAUGAACUAGCAUUUAAUAAAGCACAAUUUUGGAAACCCUGGUAAA